rnacentral:rRNA from 1 species
UCAGAAUGCUGCGGUGAAUGCGUUCCCGGGUCUUGUACACACCGCCCGUCACACCACGGGAGUUGGAGACGCCCGAAGCCGAUUAUCUAACCUGUUGGAAGAAGUCGUCGAAGGUGGAAUCAAUAACGGGGGUGAAGUCGUAACAAGGUAGCCGUAUCGGAAGGUGCGGCUGGAUCACCUCCUUUCUAAGGAGA